rnacentral:rRNA from 1 species
AUACAUGCAAGUCGAGCGGACAGAUGGGAGCUUGCUCCCUGAUGUUAGCGGCGGACGGGUGAGUAACACGUGGGUAACCUGCCUGUAAGACUGGGAUAACUCCGGGAAACCGGGGCUAAUACCGGAUGCUUGUUUGAACCGCAUGGUUCAAACAUAAAAGGUGGCUUCGGCUACCACUUACAGAUGGACCCGCGGCGCAUUAGCUAGUUGGUGAGGUAAUGGCUCACCAAGGCAACGAUGCGUAGCCGACCUGAGAGGGUGAUCGGCCACACUGGGACUGAGACACGGCCCAGACUCCUACGGGAGGCAGCAGUAGGGAAUCUUCCGCAAUGGACGAAAGUCUGACGGAGCAACGCCGCGUGAGUGAUGAAGGUUUUCGGAUCGUAAAGCUCUGUUGUUAGGGAAGAACAAGUACCGUUCGAAUAGGGCGGUACCUUGACGGUACCUAACCAGAAAGCCACGGCUAACUACGUGCCAGCAGCCGCGGUAAUACGUAGGUGGCAAGCGUUGUCCGGAAUUAUUGGGCGUAAAGGGCUCGCAGGCGGUUUCUUAAGUCUGAUGUGAAAGCCCCCGGCUCAACCGGGGAGGGUCAUUGGAAACUGGGGAACUUGAGUGCAGAAGAGGAGAGUGGAAUUCCACGUGUAGCGGUGAAAUGCGUAGAGAUGUGGAGGAACACCAGUGGCGAAGGCGACUCUCUGGUCUGUAACUGAC